CGCUUUUCGGUCCGUGGAGACGCA
rnacentral:miRNA from 1 species